GGAAACGGUUGCUAAGACUGGAUAGGAAAUUAAAAGGCAUCUUUUAAUUUUUAAAAGACCUUUUUCGGAAGGUAUGCUUAAAGAGGGGCUUGCGCCACAUUAGUUAGUUGGUAAGGUAAAGGCUUACCAAGACGAUGAUGUGUAGCUGGACUGAGAGGUUGAACAGCCACAUUGGGACUGAGACACGGCCCAAACUCCUACGGGAGGCAGCAGUAAGGAAUUUUUGGCAAUGGAGGAAACUCUGACCGAGCGACGCCGCGUGAACAAUGAAGUACUUCGGUAUGUAAAGUUCUUUUAUUGAAAAAGAAAAAAUAGUGGAAAAACUAUCUUGACAUUAUUCAAUGAAUAAGCCCCGGCUAAUUAUGUGCCAGCAGCCGCGGUAAUACAUAAGGGGCGAGCGUUAUCCGGAAUUAUUGGGCGUAAAGGGUGCGUAGGCGGUUUGAUAAGUCUAUAGUUUAAUUGCAGUGCUUAACGCUGUACCGCUAUAGAAACUGUCUGACUAGAGUUAGAUAGAGGCAAGCGGAAUUCCAUGUGUAGCGGUAAAAUGCGUAAAUAUAUGGAGGAACACCAGAGGCGUAGGCGGCUUGCUGGGUCUUAACUGACGCUGAGGCACGAAAGCGUGGGGAGCAAACAGGAUUAGAUACCCUGGUAGUCCACGCCGUAAACGAUGAGUACUAAGUGUCGGGUUUUGGCUCGGUACUGAAGUUAACACAUUAAGUACUCCGCCUGAGUAGUACGUACGCAAGUAUGAAACUUAAAGGAAUUGACGGGACCCCGCACAAGCGGUGGAUCAUGUUGUUUAAUUCGAAGAUACACGAAAAACCUUACCAGGUCUUGACAUAAUUUUGCGACAUUAUAGAAAUAUAAUGAAGGUUAUCAGAAUUACAGGUGGUGCAUGGUUGUCGUCAGCUCGUGUCGUGAGAUGUUAAGGUUAAGUCCUAAAACGAGCGCAACCCUUGUCGUUAGUUGCGACCACAUAAUGGUGAGCACUUUAGCGAGACUGCCAAUGAAAAAUUGGAGGAAGGUGAGGAUUACGUCAAAUCAUCAUGCCCCUUAUGAUCUGGGCUACAAACGUGAUACAAUGGCUUUUACAAAGAGUAGCUACAACGUGAGUUUUUAGCCAAUCUCAAAAAAACAGUCUCAGUUCGGAUUGAAGUCUGCAACUCGACUUCAUGAAGUUGGAAUCGCUAGUAAUCGCGAAUCAGCAUGUCGCGGUGAAUACGUUCUCGGGGUUUGUACACACCGCCCGUCAAA
rnacentral:rRNA from 1 species